AGUGAACGCUGGCGGUAGGCCUAACACAUGCCAGUCGAACGGCAGCACAGUAAGAGCUUGCUCUUACGGGUGGCGAGUGGCGGACGGGUGAGGAAUACAUCGGAAUCUACUUUUUCGUGGGGGAUAACGUAGGGAAACUUACGCUAAUACCGCAUACGACCUCCGGGUGAAAGCAGGGGAUCUUCGGACCUUGCGCGAUUGAAUGAGCCGAUGUCGGAUUAGCUCGUUGGCGGGGUAAAGGCCCACCAAGGCGACGAUCCGUAGCUGGUCUGAGGGGAUGAUCAGCCACACUGGAAGUGAGAAACGGCCCAGACUCUGACGGGGGGAAGCAGUCGGGAAUAUUGGGCAAUGGGCGCAAGCCUGAUCCAGCCAUACCGCGUGGGUGAAGAAGGCCUUAGGGUUGGAAAGCCCUUUUGUUGGGAAAGAAGAGCAGCAGGUUAAUACCCCGCUGUUCUGACGGUACCCAAAGAAUAAGCACCGGCUAACUUCGUG
rnacentral:rRNA from 1 species